AGAGUUUCAUCCUGGCUCAGGACGAACGCUGGCGGCGCGCCUAACACAUGCAAGUCGAACGAGCGAGAGAGAGCUUGCUUUCUCAAGCGAGUGGCGAACGGGUGAGUAACGCGUGAGGAACCUGCCUCAAAGAGGGGGACAACAGUUGGAAACGACUGCUAAUACCGCAUAAGCCCACAGCUCGGCAUCGAGCAGAGGGAAAAGGAGCAAUCCGCUUUGAGAUGGCCUCGCGUCCGAUUAGCUAGUUGGUGAGGUAACGGCCCACCAAGGCAACGAUCGGUAGCCGGACUGAGAGGUUGAACGGCCACAUUGGGACUGAGACACGGCCCAGACUCCUACGGGAGGCAGCAGUGGGGAAUAUUGCACAAUGGGGGAAACCCUGAUGCAGCGACGCCGCGUGGAGGAAGAAGGUCUUCGGAUUGUAAACUCCUGUUGUUGAGGAAGAUAAUGACGGUACUCAACAAGGAAGUGACGGCUAACUACGUGCCAGCAGCCGCGGUAAAACGUAGGUCACAAGCGUUGUCCGGAAUUACUGGGUGUAAAGGGAGCGCAGGCGGGAAGACAAGUUGGAAGUGAAAUCUAUGGGCUCAACCCAUAAACUGCUUUCAAAACUGUUUUUCUUGAGUAGUGCAGAGGUAGGCGGAAUUCCCGGUGUAGCGGUGGAAUGCGUAGAUAUCGGGAGGAACACCAGUGGCGAAGGCGGCCUACUGGGCACCAACUGACGCUGAGGCUCGAAAGUGUGGGUAGCAAACAGGAUUAGAUACCCUGGUAGUCCACACCGUAAACGAUGAUUACUAGGUGUUGGAGGAUUGACCCCUUCAGUGCCGCAGUUAACACAAUAAGUAAUCCACCUGGGGAGUACGACCGCAAGGUUGAAACUCAAAGGAAUUGACGGGGGCCCGCACAAGCAGUGGAGUAUGUGGUUUAAUUCGACGCAACGCGGAGAACCUUACCAAGUCUUGACAUCCCUUGACGAACAUAGAAAUAUGUUUUCUCUUCGGAGCAAGGAGACAGGUGGUGCAUGGUUGUCGUCAGCUCGUGUCGUGAGAUGUUGGGUUAAGUCCCGCAACGAGCGCAACCCUUACUGUCAGUUACUACGCAAGAGGACUCUGGCAGGACUGCCGUUGACAAAACGGAGGAAGGUGGGGAUGACGUCAAAUCAUCAUGCCCUUUAUGACUUGGGCUACACACGUACUACAAUGGCGUUAAACAAAGAGAAGCAAGACCGCGAGGUGGAGCAAAACUCAGAAACAACGUCCCAGUUCGGACUGCAGGCUGCAACUCGCCUGCACGAAGUCGGAAUUGCUAGUAACCGUGGAUCAGCAUGCCACGGUGAAUACGAUCCCGGGCGUGUACACACCGCCCGUCAAGGGCGAUAAGCGGCCGGGAAAUUCAAUUCGCCC
rnacentral:rRNA from 1 species